UGAGGAAUAUUCGGCAAUGGGGGCAACCCUGACCGAGCAACGCCGCGUGGAGGAUGACGGUUUUUGGAUUGUAAACUCCUUUUCUCAGGGAAGAGUGAGGACGGUACCUGAGGAAUAAGUCACGGCUAACUACGUGCCAGCAGCCGCGGUAAUACGUAGGUGGCAAGCGUUAUCCGGAAUUACUGGGCGUAAAGCGCACGCAGGUGGCUUUCUAAGAUUGACGUGAAAACUGCUGGCUUAACUGGCAGACGUCGUUGAUGACUGGGAGGCUUGAGGCGAGGAGAGGGGUGUAGAAUUCCCGGUGUAGUGGUGGAAUGCGUAGAGAUCGGGAGGAAUACCAGAGGCGAAAGCGGCACCCUGGCCUUGGCCUGACGCUCAGGUGCGAAAGCGUGGGGAGCGAACGGG
rnacentral:rRNA from 1 species